UACAGAGGGUACUAGCGUUGUUCGGAUUGACUGGGCGUAAAGGGUGCGUAGGUUGCUCUUUAAGUAAGGUGUGAAAGCCCUGAGCUUAACUCAGGAACUGCAUCUUAUACUGAAGAGCUAGAGUAUGGCAGAGGAAACAGGAAUUCCUAGUGUAGGGGUAAAAUCCACAGAUAUUAGGAGGAACACCAAAAGCGAAGGCAAGUUUCUGGGCCAAUACUGACACUGAGGCACGAAAGCGUGGGGAGCAAAC
rnacentral:rRNA from 1 species